ACCAGCAAUGGAGCUUGCGGCUUAAUUUGACUCAACACGGGAAAACUUACCCGGCCCGGACACAGGAAGGAUUGACAGAUUAAGAGCUCUUUCUUGAUUCUGUGGGUGGUGGUGCAUGGCCGUUCUUAGUUGGUGGAGCGAUUUGUCUGGUUAAUUCCGAUAACGAACGAGACUCUAGCCUGCUAAAUAGACGUUCCGAUCCACUGCGUCGGACGUUCUUCUUAGAGGGACAAGCGGCGUUUAGCCGCACGAGACAGAGCAAUAACAGGUCAGUGAUGCCCUUAGAUGUUCGGGGCCGCACGCGCGCUACAUUGAAGGAAUCAGCGUGUGCUUUCCCUGUCCGACAGGACUGGGUAACCCGUUGAAACUCUUUCGUGCUGGGGAUUGCAAGUUGUAANUUUCGCAUGAACGAGGAAUUCCNAGUAAGCGCGAGUCAUAAGCUCGCGUUGAUUAAGUCCCUGCCCCUUGUACACACCGCCCGUCGCUACUACCGAUUGAGCGAUUUAGUGAGGUCUUCGGACUGGCGCUCGGAGCGGCUUUCGGGUCGUGCCGGCGUGCCGGAAAGAUGACCGAACUUGACCGCUUAGAGGAAGAAAA
rnacentral:rRNA from 1 species